ACGAGGUACAGUUCUGUUUAUGUAUGGCAUUUUCAGUAAAGAAGUCCUGAGUAAACACGUUGACGUUGAAUACCGCUUCUCUGCCGAACCUUAAUUAGUGCCUCAUGCAGUCAUGUCUCAGUUUUAUCUAUGUAAGUGCCUUCGGGCGAAGAAAACACUCUAAGGAAUUUUGCAAAUGGCAAAGAUUAAAGGUCAAGUUAAGUGGUUCAACGAAUCUAAAGGUUUUGGAUUCAUUACUCCGGCUGACGGCAGCAAAGAUGUAUUCGUACACUUCUCUGCUAUUCAGGGUAAUGGUUUUAAAACUCUGGCCGAAGGUCAGAACGUUGAGUUUGAAAUUCAGGACGGUCAGAAAGGCCCGGCUGCAGUUAACGUAACUGCUAUCUGAAUCCAGCACCACUGAUCUUGUUGCGCGUCCUGCGCGCACCAUCAGCCAUAAAGCCUCGCAUCUGCGGGGCUUUUUCAU
rnacentral:sRNA from 1 species